GACGAAGGGGGCUAGCGUUGCUCGGAAUUACUGGGCGUAAAGGGCGCGUAGGCGGAUAUCUAAGUUGGGGGUGAAAUCCCGGGGCUCAACCUCGGAAUUGCCUUCAAAACUGGAUAUCUUGAGUUCGGGAGAGGUGAGUGGAACUCCGAGUGUAGAGGUGAAAUUCGUAGAUAUUCGGAAGAACACCAGUGGCGAAGGCGACUCACUGGCCCGAUACUGACGCUGAGGCGCGAAAGCGUGGGGAGCAAACAGG
rnacentral:rRNA from 1 species